UGAGGAAUAUUGGUCAAUGGACGAGAGUCUGAACCAGCCAAGUAGCGUGCAGGAUGACGGCCCUAUGGGUUGUAAACUGCUUUUGUUUGGGAAUACUCGACAUUACGUGUAAUGUUUUGCAUGUACCAUUCGAAUAAGGACCGGCUAAUUCCGUGCCAGCAGCCGCGGUAAUACGGAAGGUCCAGGCGUUAUCCGGAUUUAUUGGGUUUAAAGGGAGUGUAGGCGGUUGGUUAAGCGUGUUGUGAAAUGUAGAUGCUCAACAUCUGACUUGCAGCGCGAACUGGCUGACUUGAGUACACACAACGUAGGCGGAAUUCAUGGUGUAGCGGUGAAAUGCUUAGAUAUCAUGAAGAACACCGAUUGCGAAGGCAGCUUACGGGAGCGCAACUGACGCUGAAGCACGAAGGUGCGGGUAUCGAACAGG
rnacentral:rRNA from 1 species